rnacentral:rRNA from 1 species
AGGCCUUGACAUGGUGAUCAUAUGGCUGCGACAGCUGUUAGUCGGUUCGGCCGGAUCGUCACAGGUGUUGCAUGGCUGUCGUCAGCUCGUGUCGUGAGAUGUUGGGUUAAGUCCCGCAACGAGCGCAACCCUUAUCCUUAGUUGCCAGCGAGUGAUGUCGGGAACUUUAAGGAAACUGCCGGUGAUAAGCCGGAGGAAGGUGGGGAUGACGUCAAGUCAGCAUGGCCCUUACGGCCUGGGCUACACACGUGUUACAAUGGUGGUGACAAAAAGAAGCAAUAGGGCGACCUGGAGCAGAUCUUAUAAAAGCUAUCUCAGUUCGGAUUGCACUCUGCAACUCGGGUGCAUGAAGUCGGAAUCGCUAGUGAUCGCAGAGCAGCAUGCUGCGGUGAAUACGUUCCCGGGUC